UACGAAGGGGCUAGCGUUGCUCGGAAUCACUGGGCGUAAAGGGUGCGUAGGCGGGUCUUUUAAGUCAGGGGUGAAAUCCUGGAGCUCAACUCCAGAACUGCCUUUGAUACUGAGGAUCUUGAGUUCGGGAGAGGUGAGUGGAACUGCGAGUGUAGAGGUGAAAUUCGUAGAUAUUCGCAAGAACACCAGUGGCGAAGGCGGCUCACUGGCCCGAUACUGACGCUGAGGCACGAAAGCGUGGGGAG
rnacentral:rRNA from 1 species